rnacentral:rRNA from 1 species
AACGAACGCUGGCGGCAUGCCUAACACAUGCAAGUCGAACGAUGCUUUCGGGCAUAGUUGCGCACGGGUGCGUAACGUGUGGGAAUCUGCCCUUGGGCUCGGAAUUAUAGUGUGAAAUUGCUGCUAAUACCGGAUGAUGUCUUCGGACCAAAGAUUUAUCGCCCAGGGAUGAGCCCGCGUAGGUUUAGCUAGUUGGUGGGGUAAUGGCCUAUCAAAGCUAGGAUCCUUAGCUGGUUUGAGAGGAUGGUCAGCCACACUGGGGCUGGGACACAGCGCGGAAUACUGGAGGAGGGGGGAGAGGGGGAUAUAGGAAAAUGGGGGCAAGGAAGAACGAGCAAUGCCGGGUAAGUGAUGAAGGCGUGAGAGAUAAAAAGCAGGUUUACACGGGAUGGUAAUGACGGUACCGAAAGAAUAAGCACCGGCUAACUCCGUG